rnacentral:rRNA from 1 species
ACUAAGCGUACACGGUGGAUGCCCUGGCAGUCAGAGGCGAUGAAGGACGUGCUAAUCUGCGAAAAGCGUCGGUAAGGUGAUAUGAACCGUUAUAACCGGCGAUGUCCGAAUGGGGAAACCCAGUGCAAUUCGUUGCACUAUCGUUAACUGAAUACAUAGGUUAACGAGGCGAACCGGGGGAACUGAAACAUCUAAGUACCCCGAGGAAAAGAAAUCAACCGAGAUUCCCCCAGUAGCGGCGAGCGAACGGGGAGCAGCCCAGAGUCUGAAUCAGCUUGUGUGUUAGUGGAACGGUCUGGAAAGUCCGACGGUACAGGGUGAUAGUCCCGUACACCAAAAUGCACAGGUUGUGAACUCGAAGAGUAGGGCGGGACACGUGGUAUCCUGUCUGAAUAUGGGGGGACCAUCCUCCAAGGCUAAAUACUCCUGACUGACCGAUAGUGAACCAGUACCGUGAGGGAAAGGCGAAAAGAACCCCGGCGAGGGGAGUGAAAAAGAACCUGAAACCGUGUACGUACAAGCAGUGGGAGCACCUUCGGGUGUGACUGCGUACCUUUUGUAUAAUGGGUCAGCGACUUAUAUUCUGUAGCAAGGUUAACCGUAUAGGGGAGCCGCAGGGAAACCGAGUCUUAACUGGGCGUUAAGUUGCAGGGUAUAGACCCGAAACCCGGUGAUCUAGCCAUGGGCAGGUUGAAGGUUGGGUAACACUAACUGGAGGACCGAACCGACUAAUGUUGAAAAAUUAGCGGAUGACUUGUGGCUGGGGGUGAAAGGCCAAUCAAACCGGGAGAUAGCUGGUUCUCCCCGAAAGCUAUUUAGGUAGCGCCUCGUGAAUUCAUCUUCGGGGGUAGAGCACUGUUUCGGCUAGGGGGUCAUCCCGACUUACCAACCCGAUGCAAACUACGAAUACCGAAGAAUGUUAUCACGGGAGACACACGGCGGGUGCUAACGUCCGUCGUGAAGAGGGAAACAACCCAGACCGCCAGCUAAGGUCCCAAAGUCAUGGUUAAGUGGGAAACGAUGUGGGAAGGCACAGACAGCCAGGAUGUUGGCUUAGAAGCAGCCAUCAUUUAAAGAAAGCGUAAUAGCUCACUGGUCGAGUCGGCCUGCGCGGAAGAUGUAACGGGGCUAAACCAUGCACCGAAGCUGCGGCAGCGACACUAUGUGUUGUUGGGUAGGGGAGCGUUCUGUAAGCCUGCGAAGGUGUGCUGUGAGGCAUGCUGGAGGUAUCAGAAGUGCGAAUGCUGACAUAAGUAACGAUAAAGCGGGUGAAAAGCCCGCUCGCCGGAAGACCAAGGGUUCCUGUCCAACGUUAAUCGGGGCAGGGUGAGUCGACCCCUAAGGCGAGGCCGAAAGGCGUAGUCGAUGGGAAACAGGUUAAUAUUCCUGUACUUGGUGUUACUGCGAAGGGGGGACGGAGAAGGCUAUGUUAGCCGGGCGACGGUUGUCCCGGUUUAAGCAUGUAGGCUGGUUAUCCAGGCAAAUCCGGAUAAUCAAGGCUGAGGUGUGAUGACGAGGCACUACGGUGCUGAAGUAACAAAUGCCCUGCUUCCAGGAAAAGCCUCUAAGCAUCAGGUAACAUCAAAUCGUACCCCAAACCGACACAGGUGGUCAGGUAGAGAAUACCAAGGCGCUUGAGAGAACUCGGGUGAAGGAACUAGGCAAAAUGGUGCCGUAACUUCGGGAGAAGGCACGCUGGUGUGUAGGUGAAGUCCCUGCGGAUGGAGCUGAGACCAGUCGAAGAUACCAGCUGGCUGCAACUGUUUAUUAAAAACACAGCACUGUGCAAACACGAAAGUGGACGUAUACGGUGUGACGCCUGCCCGGUGCCGGAAGGUUAAUUGAUGGGGUUAUCCGUAAGGAGAAGCUCUUGAUCGAAGCCCCGGUAAACGGCGGCCGUAACUAUAACGGUCCUAAGGUAGCGAAAUUCCUUGUCGGGUAAGUUCCGACCUGCACGAAUGGCGUAAUGAUGGCCAGGCUGUCUCCACCCGAGACUCAGUGAAAUUGAACUCGCUGUGAAGAUGCAGUGUACCCGCGGCAAGACGGAAAGACCCCGUGAACCUUUACUAUAGCUUGACACUGAACAUUGAGCCUUGAUGUGUAGGAUAGGUGGGAGGCUUUGAAGCGUGGACGCCAGUCUGCGUGGAGCCAACCUUGAAAUACCACCCUUUAAUGUUUGAUGUUCUAACGUUGGCCCCUUAUCGGGGUUGCGGACAGUGUCUGGUGGGUAGUUUGACUGGGGCGGUCUCCUCCCAAAGCGUAACGGAGGAGCACGAAGGUUAGCUAAUCCUGGUCGGACAUCAGGAGGUUAGUGCAAUGGCAUAAGCUAGCUUGACUGCGAGCGUGACGGCGCGAGCAGGUGCGAAAGCAGGUCAUAGUGAUCCGGUGGUUCUGAAUGGAAGGGCCAUCGCUCAACGGAUAAAAGGUACUCCGGGGAUAACAGGCUGAUACCGCCCAAGAGUUCAUAUCGACGGCGGUGUUUGGCACCUCGAUGUCGGCUCAUCACAUCCUGGGGCUGAAGUAGGUCCCAAGGGUAUGGCUGUUCGCCAUUUAAAGUGGUACGCGAGCUGGGUUUAGAACGUCGUGAGACAGUUCGGUCCCUAUCUGCCGUGGGCGCUGGAGAAUUGAGGGGGGCUGCUCCUAGUACGAGAGGACCGGAGUGGACGCAUCACUGGUGUUCGGGUUGUCAUGCCAAUGGCACUGCCCGGUAGCUAAAUGCGGAAGAGAUAAGUGCUGAAAGCAUCUAAGCACGAAACUUGCCCCGAGAUGAGUUCUCCCUGAGACUUUAAGUCUCCUGAAGGAACGUUGAAGACGACGACGUUGAUAGGCCGGGUGUGUAAGCGCAGCGAUGCGUUGAGCUAACCGGUACUAAUGAACCGUGAGGCUUAACC